rnacentral:rRNA from 1 species
UACGGAGGGAGCUAGCGUUGUUCGGAAUCACUGGGCGUAAAGCGUACGUAGGCGGCUUUGCAAGUUAGAGGUGAAAGCCCGGGGCUCAACUCCGGAACUGCCUUUAAAACUGCGAUGCUUGAAUCUGGGAGAGGUGAGUGGAAUUCCGAGUGUAGAGGUGAAAUUCGUAGAUAUUCGGAAGAACACCAGUGGCGAAGGCGGCUCACUGGACCAGUAUUGACGCUGAGGUACGAAAGCGUGGGGAGCAAAC